rnacentral:lncRNA from 1 species
AAUUGAAGUUUCUUUGGGACUCAAUGGGUGAAGAAGAAUCCAUUAAUGAAGUUCUCACAUACCUGAAGUAGAAACCCUAACUUGUCUUGAAACUUUGGAACCCUAACUUGCUUGAGGGAGAAGACUUGAGAGGGAAGAAAUUUGAUUUGGGAUUGACAUUAGAGUCUUUAGAAACCACCUAAACUCACUUAGAGUAGGCCAAAACGACAUAGUAUGAGAAUUAAAAUAGUGAGAAAAUACCCAAAUAACCCUGAUUAAAAUUUGACGGAAGAACUCUACGAGAACAUUUACGAUCCGUGAUUUCAUUUACGGACCCUGGAAUCCUGUCCAUAGAAAUCAGAAAAGAAAUCCUGGAUUUUGAACUUUCAAUCCAUGAGACCCUUUUAUGGUCUAUAGAAAGUUUUACGACUCAUCAUGGGCAUCCAUAGAAACAUAAAAUUGAAAUUACAGAACAAUGACCUACGAGACCCAAACCACGACUUAUAGUCCUUUGUAC